UCCUACGGGAGGCAGCAGUAGGGAAUUUUCGUCAAUGGGGGGAACCCUGAACGAGCAAUGCCGCGUGAGUGAGGAAGGUCUUCGGAUCGUAAAGCUCUGUUGUAAGAGAAAAACGGCACUCAUAGGGAAUGAUGAGUGAGUGAUGGUAUCUUACCAGAAAGUCACGGCUAACUACGUGCCAGCAGCCGCGGUAAUACGUAGGUGGCGAGCGUUAUCCGGAAUGAUUGGGCGUAAAGGGUGCGUAGGUGGCAGAUCAAGUCUGGAGUAAAAGGUAUGGGCUCAACCCGUACUGGCUCUGGAAACUGAUCAGCUAGAGAACAGAAGAGGACGGCGGAACUCCAUGUGUAGCGGUAAAAUGCGUAGAUAUAUGGAAGAACACCGGUGGCGAAGGCGGCCGUCUGGUCUGGAUUCUGACACUGAAGCACGAAAGCGUGGGGAGCAAAUAGGAUUAGAUACCCUAGUAGUCCACGCCGUAAACGAUGAGAACUAGGUGUUGGGGGAAUAACUCAGUGCCGCAGUUAACGCAGUAAGUUCUCCGCCUGGGGAGUAUGCACGCAAGUGUGAAACUCAAAGGAAUUGACGGGGGCCCGCACAAGCGGUGGAGUAUGUGGUUUAAUUCGAAGCAACGCGAAGAACCUUACCAGGCCUUGACAUCCCUUGCAGAGGUAUAGAGAUAUAUCCGAGGUUAUCAAGGAGACAGGUGGUGCAUGGUUGUCGUCAGCUCGUGUCGUGAGAUGUUGGGUUAAGU
rnacentral:rRNA from 1 species